ensembl:lncRNA
AUGUCAUAUCUUUUGAUACAUUGUAAUCUUUAUUUUACAGUUGAGAAAUUGCUGUUUUUUGGAAGAAGGCAUAGUAACAAUUAUAACAAAUGGCCAUUAACUAACUAAUCCAGCUGCCUCUCCUUUCUUACUCCUAACUCAUUCCUCAGCCCAGAGCAACGUGACUCCCUCCACCCUCUUCCCUCCGUUCCAUGGGACCUGCUUUUGCAAGGGACACCAGUGAUCUCUAUGUUGCCAAAUCCCGUGGAGACCUUUAGCCCUUCUCUGAUCUGCCACUGAUAUUCACCCCACUGACCACCAGUCCUUCCUGAACCUUCUUCCCCAGCAUCUGGGAUACCACUCUGUCUUGGUUUACCCAUUUUCUUUUGUCCUCUUUCUCUCUUUUUAUUUUUUUAAAAGAUUGGCACCUGCGCUAACAUCUAUUGCCAGUCUUCCUCUUUUUUUUCUUCUUCUCCCCAAAGCUCCCCAGUACCUAGGUGCAUACUCUAGGUGUGGAUCCUUCUGAUUGUGCUAUGUGGGACCCCACCUCAGCAUGGCUUGAUGAGCGGUGCCAUAUCUGUGUCCAGGAUCCAAACUGGUGAAACCCCAGGCCGCUGAAGUGGAGUGUGCGAGCUUAACCACUCGGCCACGGGGCCGACCCCUCCUCUGUUGCUUUGUAGGGUCCUUUCCCUCUACUGACCCUCAAAGGUGGGCAUUUUCCAUGGCUCUAUCCUGAGCUGCUACUCUUCUCCCUCAACACGACCUUUCCAGGUGACUCCCUGAUCUUCAUGCCAUGGCAGUCACAGCCUCUCCUUGCUCAUGGCUCCUGAACUCUAUUUCUAGUCCUGGGCCCCAUCCUGGGCAUCACACUCACAUAUCCAACUGCCAGUCUGGUGCAUUUCUCCCCAGAAUGCUCCACAGUUACCUUAAACUCAACAUGGCUAAAGUGGAGUUCAUUACGUCACUCCCGCCCACCACCCCAUCUUAGCGACUGACACCAUCUACCCAGCUGCCUAAGCCACCCACCAAUUAACCACAUUCCAGUUUAUCAGCCUAGCUUGCCAAUCUUACCUCCUUGGUAUUUCUAAAGCAGAUCCUUCUUCUCAUUUCACUUUCCUCUUUCCAGGAUCUGGCCUCAUCCUCCCUUGCCUGGAGUAUCAGAACUAACUCUGGACUGGUCCCCUUCCUCUAGUCUUGCCCUAUUCGAAUUCAUCUUCCACAGCUGUAAGAUGGAUUUAUCUCAUACACAGAGCUGGCCGUGUCACUUCUGUACUUAAAACGCUCUCGCGCCUCCGUGGUCCCUGUGGGAUAAAAUCCGAGUUCUGAGGCUGGCAUUCCACCUCCACAAACUGGCCCUCUGCUCCCCUCCAGCCCAUCCUCACCACUGCACUGUCCACCCUUUCCUUGAGUGUGUGCUGAGUGCCUACCACGCACAGCAACGGAGGCGGGUGCUGCAGCGGGAGUGCGGAGCUGAGAGGUCAUUGGCAGUGAGUGGUCACAGCCGACGGGGAGAGACAGUCACCCAGUCUGGUCAUUUUCACCAUAGGAAGGCCCCCGGUGAUAAAAAAGAGCAUGGAACCCCAGGGGAGAGUGUCCCGGGCAGAGGGAAAGGUCAGUACCUGAACUUGCCUGAUGCUGGAAAUGCUAAUUAGUCCAUUAGUCCUGCUGAUGAUUCUACUCUCUCUCUCUGUCUUCAGCAUCUGUGGCCUCUGUCUCCACUGUCUGGCCUAAUUCAAGCCUUCCUUGUUUCUCACCUGGAUCACUUCCCUGUCCUCCCAACUGGUCUCCUCUCUUGACCUCCAGCCCACCCACCCCCAGUGCUGCCAGAAUAGCCUGUCCACAACACAAAUAUGAAGACUGCCACAGGAAAUGGCCAACUUCUUUAUGUGGCCUCUGAGGCCCUUCACAGUUAGGGGUUUUUCUUCUCCCCCUGAGCUGCCCUUCCUUCCUCCUUUCAGAUGUUAGCCAUGUCCCACUGCCCAUCAGUUCUUGACCUGGGGGUGCCCAUGCACAUCUCUAGCUGUGGGGACAGAAUGCCCAGUGAGAAAGUGGAGACAGGAGCUGUAGACCAUCUUUUAAACAUGGCCUGCAGUGAAGGGGAGCAGGAAAACAUGAUGAGAGCUGGGGAGAGAUGUGAGAUGAAUGGAGUUUGUUGUUUAUUAUAGGAGAUCCUGGACGUUGCAUCCUGCCAUGGGUGACUGGGUGGAGAGGGAGAAGAUGGGGAUGCAGAGAGAGGAGGCACCCAGGUCCUUGAGUAGGUGAGAGAGAAGGGACCCAGGCCCACAUGGAGGGGGUGGCCUUGGGCGGAGCAGUGACUGUCAUCCGUUGAGCGGGAGGGAGGAGAGAGUGGCUGCAGAUAUGGGAGUGUUGCUGGGUUUCCUCACGGGAAGAUGAGAGAGUUCUUUCUAAUUGGUACUAUCUUCUGAACAAAGCAUGAGGCCAGUGAGGGUGGGGGCAGUGAGGGGUGUAUGGAGAGGAGAAAGGAAGAGACACUAAUUUGGGAGAAUGAUAAAGUGUGCAGCGAGGCCACCAGACAACUGUUCAGUGCUGCUGAGCGUGACGGGGCCCGACUGAGAUUGGAGGCUGUGGAAUUAGAGGGAAGUAGUUUGUUUCUUCUCCAGCCAUGUUGUGCUGCCAGGGUGCAGGCACCGAGUAGGUAGGCAGUUGGAUUUAACCAAGGUUGGGCAUGGCUUCUAAGUAUGAAGAAGAGAGAAAGAGGAAAGAAAGUGAAAGAUGGAUGCGAGGGCAGUAGAGGGUACUGAUUCUGAGAUGGUGGUGGCAGGAGGCUGGAGGGUGCAAGGAGGCAGGACUAUAAUCUGGAAGGACAAUAGGUGGCAGGUGGUCACCCAGCGGGAUGCUUGAGGUGGAGAUCAUAUGGACGGUUCAGUUUCCAUGGUGGGAAGGUCAAGGGUGAUGCCCAUGGGAGCAGGUGGCAAAUGGAUGGUUGGAGCCAGCCAGGUGGAGGAACAAAGAGGACCCAAUGUUGGAUGGAUCCUCAAAGUGGAUGUUUAAGUCACCCAAAAUAAUGACAGCAUGGGGGUGGAGAGGAAGACAGAGGGUGAGACUGUCAGUUAAGUCUGCAAUGAAUGAGGGGUGCGGCCCAGGGAGGCAGAGGUUCCCCGGCAACAAGGAUGGUGUUGAGGGAGAAAGUCUCUGGACGUGGAAUUCAGGGGAGCUGGGGCUUUUGAAGAGGAAGGGAGGGGAAGCGUUUUCAGAAGUCAAUAGGGAGCUAGGAGUUCCCCCACCCCACCUCCCAGCCCCAGGGGCUGUGGGCUGUGGGAGGUGGGGUGUGGAGAAAACAGCCUCCCCUUGGGAGGCGGUGAGAAGUGGUGUGUCAGGGGACAGCCAGGUGUCAGUUAGGGUAAGAAGUUCAGAAAGGAUGUUGGGGAAAUGGGGUGUUUGCGAUGACAGGCCUGAGUUCUUGGUGCUGAGUGCGGGUGCCCGUGGGGCUGGACCCCUCGGUUUCUGAGGGAGGCUCAGACCCCGCUCUGUGAAAGAAGGCGCUAGCCCUACAACCCUCUAGCUUCUGGCUUCUCAGCAGCAAAAUGGCAUCACUGUCACUUGCUAAUAGACCAUAAGGAUGCUAUGGGCUGUGGGAGUGGGCCCAGCCCCAGGCCUGGUCAGGCAGGAACUCUCCAGUCACUCUCGGGGCUCAUGGGCGUGGAGGGUCCAGCCAGGCGAACCCACCAGUUGGUGGUGGGAGGUUGACGGCCUUGCUUGCUGGAAGGCCCCGCCCUCCGUGCUGCCCAAGUUUUAUAGGUAAGAGAUGAAACCCAUUUCGAGGGCAAUUGAGCACUGGAAGUGCCGUGGCUUGGCAGGCACGUGGCACAGGCGUGUGGGUAAUUGUGCUACACGGAGGGAUGUGUGGAGAUGCAGCUCUGGGCUGGACUCUGGGGGUAGGGCGCGGGGCAGGAGCAAGAGGGCUGGCCAGAGGCUGGGCAGGCUCAGGCUCACCAGGGGUGGGCAGGUGAUUUCACCCUGCCAUAGCAAGAAAACUCAGGGCACAAGCCCAGGUGGGCCAGAAUAUUUGCAUUUCUUUAAAUGGAUUCAGACUCUUAGCCUAUCGAGAUGGGGAGAAUUCAACCUAGUGGCAAUGGUUUCCAUGGAGAUGCCCAUUGGCCUGGCCCUAUGGUCCCUUAUUAUAGAGCCAAAAUUUUGCUGGAAGCCUUGCCUAUGAAUGUGAUGCCUGGGGCCACCAGGACCUCUCCAUGCUGCCUUUGCCUAUCCAUUUUGCAGAUGAGCUGGUGGAGACUCAGAGAGGUCUCAGGCUGCUUAGCUCUUAAGUAAUGGCUCACCUACCCAGUGCUUCUAACCUGGGGCCAAAUCACUGGUGGGCAGUGAGCCCACGUGCAGUGUGGAGGGGGGGCCCUGCAGGCAGGAAAGGCAUUCCUGACUCCGAGGAUGGAGAAAGGGCUCUUUGGAGGAAGCAGGAUCUGACUAGGACCUGGGAGGAUGGGUUGGACCUGGAGAGGGUGAGAAGGGCAGGGCGUUCCCUGGGGGAGGGGACAGUGUGAACACAGGUGUGGCGGUAGGGUGAGUAGCAUAUUUGCUGAGUCUGUUCCAGGUCACAGAAUUUACUAUUUCACUUGGCUGCUUCUGUGUAGCGGGACUUAGGUGACCCCUUAGCCUGGUGUCCACCCAGUCACCCCUCUUUAGACUCUAAGCUUGUUGACUGGAGGGAAAGGACCCUUUAUCUGGCCGCCCUGGCACCCCGUGCUUCACACAGGUGGGCUAACUUGAUCUUCUCAUCAGCCCUGAGGGGCAGAUGCUAUGGGCUCCAUUGUGCAAACAAGGAAACUGAGGAUCAGCCAAAGGCCUUAGGAUUCAGCCCUGUGCCUCCCACCACUCACACGGCUGUGGGCAAAGCUGGGAACACACGUUGUGCGCCCCUGAUUAAAUGCCACAAAGAGGGGAGAAGGUGCCUAGUGAGCCCAAGGGCAGUCCCGGGAGGCUGAGGUCACCUGUUUCUUCCUCGGGUGGUGCCGUGAGACAGUGGGAAGAGCUGUGAAGGCAGGAGGCUGGCUGGGGCCUCACUGGCUGGGCCCCCACUGGCUGGGCCCCCACUGGCUGGGCCUCACUGGCUGGGCCCCCACUGGCUGGGCCCCCACUGGCUGGGGCCUCACUGGCUGGGCCCCCACUGGCUGGGCCUCACUGGCUGGGCCCCCACUGGCUGGGCCCCCACUGGCUGGGCCCCCUGGAACCGGUGAGCUCCUUCUUCGCCUUCCAUUCCCCCAUCUCUAGCAUGAAGGGUUGGGCUGAGCAAUCUCCCGAGUCCCUUCAAUUCUAUUAGCUGGGACCGCUUCUCCUUCAUCUUUUGCCUCCAGCCUGUUCCAGGCUGAAAACCUGGCUUCUCUCUGCCUCUCUGAUGCUCCCCAGCAUGGAUUAGAUGUUUCUUGAGUCUUCUCCAGCUUCAGCAUUUCUGGAUCUGAGACCUGUCUCAACACAGCCCCAUGCCAGUGGGGUCUGUUUCAAAACGGGCUCACCCACGGGUCCCAGCCACACUCCUUAGGAGUUUUUUGGGUCUGACUUCUCCAUUGAAAACAGACAUUCAUCCAACAACACAUGUAAUGGAUCCACUAGGGCUCUGACAGUAGGACCUGCCAUUGACUGAGCGCCUACUAUGUGCCGACACGCUGGUAACUAUAUUCAUAUAUUAUUUCGUGUCCUUACACUCUCCCUGCCAGGAACAGAAUUGUUUCUCCAUUCUACAGAUGAAGAAUCUGUGGCCCAGAGAGGUUAAGUGAUCUGGCAAAGCUCUCACAACUUGCAAGAGGCAGUGCUGGGAUCAGAAUCCAGAACUCCAUGACCUAAUGCCCAGGACAGCACAGAGAUGCCAGUCCCCGGCUGGGCCUCAGGAUGCAGACACACCACGUCUCUCUGCUUCAGCAGGAGAGCGGCUGGAGCCUGCAGUGCGAGCACGAGGGAGCCACGCCUGUCUCACUUAUGCCAUGUGCGCAGUGACUCGGACAGGGCUGGCACACAGCAGACCAGGGAGAUUCCGCUGCGAUUCUCCAGCCCCCCUGCUCUGAGGAGCCCCCGGGUAGCAGGAGGUUCUCAAAGCUGGGCACCCCAAGCCAUGAACCUCACCCCCCUGAAGCCCCGUGGAAGGCAUGCCAUCUGGGAAGAGCAUACAGCCCAGAGGCAUUUCCUUCCCCACCCUGGACAUGAACACUGUUCCCCUCGGCUGCAGGGUCUUGGCUGGCAUGCUGGUGGGGAGGACAUGGGGACAAGGGCUUGAAAAAGAAAAGAAGGGGACGAAGGGAGCAAGGGAGCAUUCAGAAAACACCCACUCCUUGCUGAGCGCUGUGCAGGUGCUGCCGGGAUCCUCAGGGACGCCCUGUGAGGGCUCAUUCUACAGAGGAGGCAACUGAGGUGCGGGGGGGCUCAGGGCCAAACCCUGUAUGACUGCCACAUUCACUGUGCUUUUCUCCCUUAUUCAGUCCUAUAGUCUGUUAUUCUAGAAUCAUCUCCUGGGGCUGUCUUGUCUCUGUGAUUCAGCUCUAAGUCCAUGGACUAUAGAAAUCCUGUCCUUGUGUGCGCGCCCUGCAGCUGACCAGGGCUUGGCCCAGGGGGACAGUCAGCAAGGACUCAAGGCCUGGAGAAGGCAGGCAUGGAGUAGAGGCAGCAUGGGGCGCUGAGCAGGCAGGCGGUCGAUCCCCCAACUGCCACUUCCUAGCAUAGUGACCUCGGGCUCUUAGUUCAUCUCUCAGACCCUCAGCUUCCUCAUCUACAAAAUGGGGAUGGUAAUAACCCCCAGUCUCAGGCUCACAGUGUGAAGUUCGGGGGAGGUGACGAGUUAGGAGUGUCGAGCGCCUGGAACCUGGCACAUAGGGGUGCACAGGCUGAAGCAGCAUUGGCUCUCAUCAGCUCGCUCAUUUCCCGGGGCAUCUCCGGGGGUGGCCCCCUAUGCCCAGCUACAAGCAGGCCCUCCCAUCCCGGAGGAAGCCUGCCUCUCCCUGGCCCAGUGUAUGCAGGGGCCUGGAUCUAGCUGAGGGGCACACGGGGGCCUGUUUGUCUUUGUGUCGCUAGCUGUGGGUGGCAGCUGUGAAAAUGGCACUCCAAGUGUGCCCCUGGCCCGCCUCCAGACUGUUAAUCCUGAGAGCCGAGGCCAGCUUCCCUGGCGCCUCCAGAUGCCCAGAGGGAGGCAAGGAGCUCAGUGGAGAAGAAGGCGUUGGCCUCCCUGGGCUUGCCCUGAGCUGGGAGGAGCCCUGGGGAGGAGUCCUGAGAGAUGAGCUCCCGGCUGCACAGCCAAGGCGGAGCGGGCGGUUGCCGAGGGGAGCAGAGCCCAGCCAUGGAGAAGUGGCUGUCAUGUCCCAAUCACCAAAGUGUCAGCUGCCAGACCCCAGUUGUGAUGGAGGAGAAAGCUGGGGGAGGGAGACGGGGUGCAGCCCAAGUCAGCCAUCAGGAGCUGGGGUGGGGGCUUGUCCACAGGAGCUGAGCUUGCAGCGAGUUCCCCCAACCUUCAGUCUUAAGUGGCAAGGGCUCAAACCAAGCAGACCUCUCAAAGCCGAGUUUGGGCCUGUCUGAGGCAGGAGUGCUCAGAGCUGUGGGUUUUCUUCUUUGCACUGAAUUAUCCCCCGGGGAGAGGUGAGGAGGGGGCACAGAGUUUCCUCCCCCCAUGGCAAAUGCAGCGCAGGACCAUCUGUGGAUAUAUCUGCUCCCGUCCCUUUCCCCGGCCUCCCCUGCUGUGCUGUUCCCUCUGCUCCAACUACUCUUGGCCCUUUUCUGUCCCACUGAGUAAACCAAGGGCGUUCUCUCCUCCGGGCUUCUGCUAGGAAUGCUCUGAACCUGAUUUUUACGCAGGGGACUUUCUUAUCAUGACCACCCAGCUCCUGCCGGCCUCCUUCCCCAGGCCCUCUUUUAUGAUCUCCCAAGCACGGAUCUCCA